rnacentral:tRNA from 2 species
GGGCCUGUAGCUCAAUUGGUUAGAGCCGGCGGCUCAUAACCGCUUGGUUGGGGGUUCGAGUCCCUCCGGGCCCACC